GAUGAACGCUGGCGGCGUGCUUAACACAUGCCGGUCGAACGGAAAGGCCCAAGCUUGCUUGGGUACUCGAGUGGCGAACGGGUGAGUAACACGUGGGUGAUCUGCCCUGCACUUCGGGAUAAGCCUGGGAAACUGGGUCUAAUACCGGAUAGGACCACAUUUUGGAUGGUGUGGUGGAAAGUUUUUCGGUGUGGGAUGAGCUCGCGGCCUAUCAGCUUGUUGGUGGGGUAAUGGCCUACCAAGGCGUCGACGGGUAGCCGGCCUGAGAGGGUGUACGGCCACAUUGGGACUGAGAUACGGCCCAGACUCCCACGGGAGGCAGCAGUGGGGAAUAUUGCACAAUGGGCGCAAGCCUGAUGCAGCGACGCCGCGUGGGGGAUGACGGCCUUCGGGUUGUAAACUCCUUUCGCUAGGGACGAAGCGCAAGUGACGGUACCUGGAGAAGAAGCACCGGCUAACUACGUG
rnacentral:rRNA from 1 species